UUUCCAAUUACUCAUCGAUAAGUUAACACCCACUCUCUUCUUGUCCAUUUAAAAACUACAUAAAUGAGAAGUGGGUCAUUCGUUCAUUACCUCU
ensembl:ncRNA C15C7.10 ncRNA